AGAACGAACGCUGGCGGCAGGCCUCAAACAUGCAAGUCUAGGGGGUGUAGCAAUACAUCACCGGCGGACGGGUGCGUAACACGUGGGAAUAUACCUUUUGGUUCGGAACAACUGAGGGAAACUUCAGCUAAAUACCGAAUGUGUCCUAGCGGAGAAAGAUUUAUCGCCAAAAGGAUUAGCCCGCGUCCGAUUAGCUAGUUGGUGAGGUAAUGGCUCACCAAGGCUCCGAUCGGUAGCUGUUCUGAGAGGAAGAUCAGCCACACUGGGACUGAGACACGGCCCAGACUCCUACGGGAGGCAGCAGUUGGGAAUCUUGGACAAUGGGGGAAACCCUGAUCCAGCCAUGCCGCGUGAGUGAUGAAGGCCUUCGGGUUGUAAACUCUUUCGACGGGACGAUAAUGACGGUACCGUAGAAGAAGCUCCGGCUACUUCGUGCCAGCAGCCGC
rnacentral:rRNA from 1 species